rnacentral:rRNA from 1 species
ACUCUAAGCGGUGGAUCACUCGGCUCAUGGGUCGAUGAAGAACGCAGCAAACUGUGCGUCAUCGUGUGAACUGCAGGACACAUGAACAUCGACAUUUUGAACGCAUAUCGCAGUCCAUGCUGUUAUGUACUUUAAUUAAUUUUAUAGUGCUGCUUGGACUACAUAUGGUUGAGGGUUGUAAGACUAUGCUAAUUAAGUUGCUUAUAAAUUUUUAUAAGCAUAUGGUAUAUUAUUGGAUAAAUAUAAUAAUUUUUAUUCAUAAUAUUAAAAAAUAAAUGAAAAACAUUAUCUCACAUUUGAAUGUGAAAAACGAAGAGAAAUAUUUUCUUUUUCAAUCAAAUAAUACUGAGAAAUGUCUAGCAUAAAAAAUUGAAAUAUUUUUCAUCUAGAAUUGUCUCUUAUUAAUGAUUCGGAAAUAGAAAAAUCUUGGUUAUGUUAUUAUUCUUCGUUGGUUCGUUAAAAAUGGAUAAAUAAAAACUUUGCAUACAAGAAUUAAUAAAAAUGUUAUAACGAAUUUAAUUAAAUGUUUUAUCAUUAUAUAUAAAGAAUUUAUGGCAAGAUAAAGUUAUAUACAACCUCAACUCAUAUGGGACUACCCCUGAAUUUAAGCAUAUUAAUUAGGGGAGGAAAAGAAACUAACAAGGAUUUUCUUAGUAGCGGCGAGCGAAAAGAAAACAGUUCAGCACUAAGUCACUUUGUCUAUAUGGCAAAUGUGAGAUGCAGUGUAUGGAGCGUCAAUAUUCUAGUAUGAGAAAUUAACGAUUUAAGUCCUUCUUAAAUGAGGCCAUUUACCCAUAGAGGGUGCCAGGCCCGUAUAACGUUAAUGAUUACUAGAUGAUGUUUCCAAAGAGUCGUGUUGCUUGAUAGUGCAGCACUAAGUGGGUGGUAAACUCCAUCUAAAACUAAAUAUAACCAUGAGACCGAUAGUAAACAAGUACCGUGAGGGAAAGUUGAAAAGAACUCUGAAUAGAGAGUUAAACAGUACGUGAAACUGCUUAGAGGUUAAGCCCGAUGAACCUGAAUAUCCGUUAUGGAAAAUUCAUCAUUAAAAUUGUAAUAUUUAAAUAAUAUUAUGAGAAUAGUGUGCAUUUUUUCCAUAUAAGGACAUUGUAAUCUAUUAGCAUAUACCAAAUUUAUCAUAAAAUAUAACUUAUAGUUUAUUCCAAUUAAAUUGCUUGCAUUUUAACACAGAAUAAAUGUUAUUAAUUUGAUAAAGUGCUGAUAGAUUUAUAUGAUUACAGUGCGUUAAUUUUUCGGAAUUAUAUAAUGGCAUAAUUAUCAUUGAUUUUUGUGUUUAUUAUAUGCACUUGUAUGAUUAACAAUGCGAAAGAUUCAGGAUACCUUCGGGACCCGUCUUGAAACACGGACCAAGGAGUCUAACAUAUGUGCAAGUUAUUGGAUAUAAACCUAAUAGCGUAAUUAACUUGACUAAUAAUGGGAUUAGUUUUUUAGCUAUUUAUAGCUAAUUAACACAAUCCCGGGGCGUUCUAUAUAGUUAUGUAUAAUGUAUAUUUAUAUUAUUUAUGCCUCUAACUGGAACGUACCUUGAGCAUAUAUGCUGUGACCCGAAAGAUGGUGAACUAUACUUGAUCAGGUUGAAGUCAGGGGAAACCCUGAUGGAAGACCGAAACAGUUCUGACGUGCAAAUCGAUUGUCAGAAUUGAGUAUAGGGGCGAAAGACCAAUCGAACCAUCUAGUAGCUGGUUCCUUCCGAAGUUUCCCUCAGGAUAGCUGGUGCAUUUUAAUAUUAUAUAAAAUAAUCUUAUCUGGUAAAGCGAAUGAUUAGAGGCCUUAGGGUCGAAACGAUCUUAACCUAUUCUCAAACUUUAAAUGGGUAAGAACCUUAACUUUCUUGAUAUGAAGUUCAAGGUUAUGAUAUAAUGUGCCCAGUGGGCCACUUUUGGUAAGCAGAACUGGCGCUGUGGGAUGAACCAAACGUAAUGUUACGGUGCCCAAAUUAACAACUCAUGCAGAUACCAUGAAAGGCGUUGGUUGCUUAAAACAGCAGGACGGUGAUCAUGGAAGUCGAAAUCCGCUAAGGAGUGUGUAACAACUCACCUGCCGAAGCAACUAGCCCUUAAAAUGGAUGGCGCUUAAGUUGUAUACCUAUACAUUACCGCUAAAGUAGAUGAUUUAUAUUACUUGUGAUAUAAAUUUUGAAACUUUAGUGAGUAGGAAGGUACAAUGGUAUGCGUAGAAGUGUUUGGCGUAAGCCUGCAUGGAGCUGCCAUUGGUACAGAUCUUGGUGGUAGUAGCAAAUAAUCGAAUGAGACCUUGGAGGACUGAAGUGGAGAAGGGUUUCGUGUGAACAGUGGUUGAUCACGAGUUAGUCGGUCCUAAGUUCAAGGCGAAAGCCGAAAAUUUUCAAGUAAAACAAAAUGCCUAACUAUAUAAACAAAGCGAAUUAUAAUACACUUGAAUAAUUUUGAACGAAAGGGAAUACGGUUCCAAUUCCGUAACCUGUUGAGUAUCCGUUUGUUAUUAAAUAUGGGCCUCGUGCUCAUCCUGGCAACAGGAACGACCAUAAAGAAGCCGUCGAGAGAUAUCGGAAGAGUUUUCUUUUCUGUUUUAUAGCCGUACUACCAUGGAAGUCUUUCGCAGAGAGAUAUGGUAGAUGGGCUAGAAGAGCAUGACAUAUACUGUUGUGUCGAUAUUUUCUCCUCGGACCUUGAAAAUUUAUGGUGGGGACACGCAAACUUCUCAACAGGCCGUACCAAUAUCCGCAGCUGGUCUCCAAGGUGAAGAGUCUCUAGUCGAUAGAAUAAUGUAGGUAAGGGAAGUCGGCAAAUUAGAUCCGUAACUUCGGGAUAAGGAUUGGCUCUGAAGAUUGAGAUAGUCGGGCUUGAUUGGGAAACAAUAACAUGGUUUAUGUGCUCGUUCUGGGUAAAUAGAGUUUCUAGCAUUUAUGUUAGUUACUUGUUCCCGCGAUAGUUUAGUUACGUAGCCAAUUGUGGAACUUUCUUGCUAAAAUUUUUAAGAAUACUAUUUGGGUUAAACCAAUUAGUUCUUAUUAAUUAUAACGAUUAUCAAUUAACAAUCAAUUCAGAACUGGCACGGACUUGGGGAAUCCGACUGUCUAAUUAAAACAAAGCAUUGUGAUGGCCCUAGCGGGUGUUGACACAAUGUGAUUUCUGCCCAGUGCUCUGAAUGUCAAAGUGAAGAAAUUCAAGUAAGCGCGGGUCAACGGCGGGAGUAACUAUGACUCUCUUAAGGUAGCCAAAUGCCUCGUCAUCUAAUUAGUGACG